AUACGAAAGGUGCAAGCGUUGUUCGGAUUUACUGGGCGUAAAGAGAGUGUAGGUUGUUUGUUAAGUCGGAUGUGAAAUCCCGGGGCUCAACCUCGGAACUGCAUUCGAUACUGGUAGACUAGAGUUCGGGAGGGGUAAGCGGAAUUCCGUGUGUAGCAGUGAAAUGCGUAGAUAUACGGAGGAACACCUGAGGCGAAGGCGGCUUACUGGACCGAUACUGACACUGAGACUCGAAAGCGUGGGUAGCAAACAGGAUUAGAAACCCGGGUAGUCC
rnacentral:rRNA from 1 species